rnacentral:misc_RNA from 1 species
UUAAGUUCAGCGGGUAUUCCUACCCGAUCCGAGGUCAAAUUCAUGGGGGUAGCUCCUGGGAGCCGAUCCGUCGGGCCCGAGUUCGCGUUUCUGCUGCGCUCGAAGCCAACGUGCCGGCCGCCAAUAGAUUUGAGGCGAGUCCGCGCCGUGAGGCGGGACAGACGCCCAACACCAAGCAGAGCUUGAAGGUUUGAAUGACG